UCCCCAGGAGUGGCUUGGCAUGAUUGA
rnacentral:piRNA from 1 species